GAUGAACGCUGGCGGCGUGCUUAACACAUGCAAGUCGAACGAGAGAAGAUCGGUGCUUGCACUGAUCCGAUCGAGUGGCGGACGGGUGAGUAACGCGUGGGUAACCUGCCUCAUACAGGGGAAUAACAGUUGGAAACGGCUGCUAAAACCGCAUAAGCGCACAGUAUCGCAUGAUACAGUGUGAAAAACUCCGGGGGUAUGAGAUGGACCCGCGUCUGAUUAUCUAGUUGGUGAGGUAACGGCCCACCAAGGCAACGAUCAGUAGCCGGCCUGAGAGGGUGAACGGCCACAUUGGGACUGAGACACGGCCCAAACUCCUACGGGAGGCAGCAGUGGGGAAUAUUGCACAAUGGGGGAAACCCUGAUGCAGCGACGCCGCGUGAGUGAUGAAGUAUUUCGGUAUGUAAAGCUCCAUCAGCAGGGAAGAUAAUGACGGUACCUGACUAAGAAGCACCGGCUGAAUACGUGCCAGCCGCCGCCGUAA
rnacentral:rRNA from 1 species